rnacentral:rRNA from 1 species
UACGUAGGGGGCGAGCGUUGUCCGGAUUUACUGGGCGUAAAGGGUGAGUAGGCGGUUGUAUAUGUCAGGUGUAAAAGGCUAUGGGCUUAACCAUGGUUAGCACUUGAAACUGUACAACUUGAGUGCAGGAGAGGUAAGUGGAAUUCCCUAGUGUAGCGGUGAAAUGCGUAGAUAUUAGGAGGAACACCAGUGGCGAAGGCGACUUACUGGACUGUAACUGACGCUGAGUCACGAAAGCGUGGGUAGCAAAACAGGAUUAGAUACCCUGGUAGUCCCU